rnacentral:misc_RNA from 1 species
AACGCAUAUUGCACCCUCUGGUACUCUGGAGGGUAUGCCUGUUUGAGAAUUGGAACUCUAUCAACGGCCCCGUUGGUUGUGUAUGCAGCAGCGGGCUCUUGGAGGUGAGCGUUCGCGUCUUCGCGUCGCUUGAAAUGCUGGCGCAACAGCACUAUCAGACAAUGAGCUGUUGGACACUCUCUAAUGCUUCUGCUUGAAAGAGUCCCCUGACGCAUUGUUAUGUGCUGUAUGUGACAAGGAACAUGCGAGCAUGUGAAAUAGCCACGCCUAGCGUGCAAGGGUAGCUUUGCGACCCCUUUUUCAAUCUCAAAUCAGGUAGGAUUACCCGCUGAACUUAA